ensembl:lncRNA novel transcript
GGCUUUAUGCAGUCUUUCCACCUCAGCCUCCCAAAGUUCUGGGUUACAGGUGUGAGCCACUGCGCCGGGCCAAUUUUGGUUUUUCAUGGAGGACUUUUAGCAGGUCUCAAAAGUUUUCUUCUAAUAGUUUUCUUGGUGUUCUAUCAUUCAUAGGUGUUGAAUUUACCAAACUUUUUCUAUUUCAAGUAUUACAUUUUUACUUUGUUCAAGUAAUAUUGUAUCAUAUUAAAUGAACAUUGCAUUGUGAAAAUACCCUGCUUAGUCAUGGUAUGUAAUCAUCCUUAUACCUUUUUGUAUUCUUUUUUUAAAUAUUUCUGAGAAUUUCUGUGUCUAAAUUUAAAUAGGAUGUUGUUUCGUAAUCAUCUUGUGAUUCUUUUGUCUCCUUUGGGUAUUAUUGGCUAAUAGAUGAAUUAAGAAAUGUUACCUCUUCUACUGCUUGAAGUUUUUGUGAGAAAUUGAUGUUUUUCAUUAAGUGUUGAUGAAAUGUACAACUUAAGCAGUUUAUAACAGCUAUUCUAUCUAAAAAGAUAUAAUUUUUUUGUUCUAUGGAUAUAAGUAUAUUCUAUUAUAUAUAUAAUGAAACAAUUCAUAGGAUGUUUUUUCAGUUUACUUUUGUAAUCCAUCUCUAUCGGUAUUUUUUAUUUCAUAGUAUGUCAUGAACAAUUAUUCUAGGCACUUGACAUGGAAUAAUUUGAAAAAAUAGAGAAUGAGUCCCGUACUACAAUCAAUAAAUAACUCAAAAUUUUUUCCAUUUUUAGGAUGAAGAAUAUGAAUAUAGUUCUGUUACGUAAUAUUUGUGUUUACUGUGUGAGACAAAUGAGUUACUGAAUGUAAAAAUAAUUAGUAAAACUGCCCUUUGAUUUUGGAAUGUAUGAAGCAGGCAAAUGCCCCUACCUUCUAUUUUUAUCAAUAUUUAGAUAAGGCAGACAAAUAAAUUUUAAUAAGAUAUACAGAAUAAUCUUGUAUUUGAAGAAUGCUAUGAAAAAAGAUAGUUUGGAGGAGUAGUUAGUAUUUGGCUCAUAUAAUGUGUUAGGUAACUAUUCUAAGCCAUUAAACAUUUGUAUGCUUAAUACCUAAGAGUUUAAAGUGAAGAAAUCAAAGAUUCAUUGAAAAAGAAAAAUUAAAUUUUAAAAAAAUUCUAUUUUUAAUUGAAAAAUAAUAGUUGUAUAUAUCUGUCUACAGUGUAAUAUUUUGAUAUAUGUUUAUGUUGUAAAAUGAUUAAAUCAAGUUAAUGUUUAUAACCUCA